rnacentral:rRNA from 1 species
GACGAACGCUGGCGGUAUGCUUAACACAUGCAAGUCGAACGAGAAGCUUUUUAAUGAUCCUUCGGGUGAACUAAGAAGUGGAAAGUGGCGAACGGGUGAGUAACGCGUGGGUAACCUGCCUCAUGGAAAGGAAUAGCCUCGGGAAACUGGGAGUAAAGCCUUAUAUUAUUGAGUUGUCGCAUGGCAAUUCGAUGAAAACUCCGGUGCCAUGAGAUGGACCCGCGUCCCAUUAGCUAGUUGGUGAGAUAACAGCCAACCAAGGCAACGAUGGGUAACCGGUCUGAGAGGGCGAACGGUCACACUGGAACUGAGACACGGUCCAGACUCCUACGGGAGGCAGCAGUGGGGAAUAUUGCGCAAUGGGGGAAACCCUGACGCAGCAAUACCGCGUGAGUGAAGAAGGUUUUCGGAUCGUAAAACUCUUUUAUUGGGGAAGAAGAAGUGACGGUACCCAAUGAAGAAGUCCCGGCUAACUACGUGCCAGCCGCCGCGGUAAGAC